CAAAUCCAUUGGCGCUGGUUCCGGAUUCUCGCUCGAUCAGCGAAAUGGGAAAACUCGGCACCGAAGUUGGCGUCAGGAACGGUGGCGUUCUUGAGGCCUGGCCUCAAGAUUCGAGUGGGCAUGGAGAGGGUGCUUCCGUUCCAAGCUCUGCUGGAGAACGGUGACGCUCAACAGGGUGAUCAGAGGCACGUGCGCACGGGCUUGGAGCAGGACGGGCAAACGGGGCCGCUUCGGAUUGGAGUGUGUGAGCCGUUUCUGCCAUUUUCAUGGAACUGCGGGGGAUGCUGGUGGUGAUCUGGUCGGGGAAAGGAUGGAAGCUUGAGGAGGAUGGUCAGGAACGGGUUUGCAAAUUGGAUUCGGGUUGC
rnacentral:lncRNA from 1 species